rnacentral:rRNA from 1 species
UGGCGAACCUGCGGAGGGAUCAUUACACAAAUAUGAAGGCGGGCUGGAACCUCUCGGGGUUACAGCCUUGCUGAAUUAUUCACCCUUGUCUUUUGCGUACUUCUUGUUUCCUUGGUGGGUUCGCCCACCACUAGGACAAACAUAAACCUUUUGUAAUUGCAAUCAGCGUCAGUAACAAAUUAAUAAUUACAACUUUCAACAACGGAUCUCUUGGUUCUGGACCCGGGUUAACAUCGAUGAAGAACGCAGCGAAAUGCGAUAAGUAGUGUGAAUUGCAGAAUUCAGUGAAUCAUCGAAUCUUUGAACGCACAUUGCGCCCUUUGGUAUUCCAAAGGGCAUGCCUGUUCGAGCGUCAUUUGUACCCUCAAGCUUUGCUUGGUGUUGGGCGUCUUGUCUCUAGCUUUGCUGGAGACUCGCCUUAAAGUAAUUGGCAGCCGGCCUACUGGUUUCGGAGCGCAGCACAAGUCGCACUCUCUAUCAGCAAAGGUCUAGCAUCCAUUAAGCCUUUUUUUCAACUUUUGACCUCGGAUCAGGUAGGGAUACCCGCUGAACUUAAGCAUAUCAAUAAGCGGAGGAAAAGAAACCAACAGGGAUUGCCCUAGUAACUGC